AUUGAACGCUGGCGGCAUGCCUUACACAUGCAAGUCGAACGGUAACAGGUCUUCGGAUGCUGACGAGUGGCGAACGGGUGAGUAAUACAUCGGAACGUGCCCAGACGUGGGGGAUAACGAGGCGAAAGCUUUGCUAAUACCGCAUACGAUCUAAGGAUGAAAGCAGGGGACCGCAAGGCCUUGUGCGUUUGGAGCGGCCGAUGGCAGAUUAGGUAGUUGAUGGGAUAAAAGCUUACCAAGCCGACGAUCUGUAGCUGGUCUGAGAGGACGACCAGCCACACUGGGACUGAGACACGGCCCAGACCCCUACGGGAGGCAGCAGUGGGGAAUUUUGGACAAUGGGCGAAAGCCUGAUCCAGCAAUGCCGCGUGCAGGAUGAAGGCCUUCGGGUUGUAAACUGCUUUUGUACGGAACGAAAAGGCUCUGGCUAAUACCUGGGGCACAUGACGGUACCGUAAGAAUAAGCACCGGCUAACUACGU
rnacentral:rRNA from 1 species